rnacentral:rRNA from 1 species
UUGGUUAAGUCCCGCAACGAGCGCAACCCUUGUCAUUAGUUGCUACGCAAGAGCACUCUAAUGAGACUGCCGGUGACAAACCGGAGGAAGGUGGGGAUGACGUCAAGUCCUCAUGGCCCUUAUGGGUAGGGCUUCACACGUCAUACAAUGGUCGGUACAGAGGGUUGCCAAGCCGCGAGGUGGAGCCAAUCCCGGAAAGCCGAUCGUAGUCCGGAUCGCAGUCUGCAACUCGACUGCGUGAAGUCGGAAUCGCUAGUAAUCGCGGAUCAGCAUGCCGCGGUGGAUACGUUCCCGGGUCUU